CUACGGGGUGCUGCAGUGAGGAAUAUUGCACAAUGGGGGGAACCCUGAUGCAGCAACGCCGCGUGGAGGAUGACGCAUUUCGGUGUGUAAACUCCUUUUAUAUGUCAAGAAAAUGACGGUAGCAUAUGAAUAAGCACCGGCUAACUCCGUGCCAGCAGCCGCGGUAAUACGGAGGGUGCAAGCGUUACUCGGGAAUCACUGGGCGAAAGGACGCGUAGGCGGGUUGGAAAGUCAGGUGUGAAAUCCUACAGCUUAACUGUAGAACUGCACUUGAAACUUCUAAUCUAGAGUAUGGGAGGGGGAGAUGGAAUUAGUGGUGUAGGGGUAAAAUCCGUAGAUAUCACUAGGAAUACCUAAAGCGAAGGCGAUCUCCUGGAACAUUACUGACGCUAAGGCGUGAAAGCGUGGGGAGCAAACAGGAUUAGAUACCCCAGUAGUC
rnacentral:rRNA from 1 species